rnacentral:lncRNA from 1 species
UAGAAGAAUCCGAGAGGACUAAGCCAUCGGGGGCUUCAACCUAAAGGCUGGGAAGAGAAGACUGACUCCACACAAAGGAAAUAGAGUCAGGAAGAGUUUGUGAGGAAACAAGACAGGGUCCUGGGAUAGGAAAAAAUGUGUCAAAUGAAGCAUUCGCCUUUGCUUUGAGCAGGAAGAGAUCAUUGUGACCCCAAUACAAGCAGCCUCAGCUAAGUGGAGGGAAUGAGAUCUUAAUUUAAGUAGUUCUCAGGAGGACAGAAAGAGAGGGCGCUGAAAUCAUGACUUCAUGUUAUCCAUUUUGAGGAUUUGGGGGGGAGGUCCCCUCUAAGUCAAGUAAGGAAAUAGAGUGGUGCCUGGAAGAGAAGGGUUGUUGGGGCUGGGGAAAGGUCUGUGGUUGUUUCCAGGUACAGGAAUUGUAUAGUAUUUAUCUCUCAAUGGGGAGGAUGGUCCAGGAAAGAGGGGACCAAAGGAUGCAGCAGAAAGAGGUUAGAUGGGACUGGUAACACGGCUCAGUGCAUGACCUGACAGAACCCACAUAAAGAUAAGACUCUGCAGAAUGUUUCUCUGACUCCACUGUGGUACACACACACACAACCACAUAUAUGCAUCAUUGGUAUAUAUCCAUACACACACAACCAUUUUUGAAAAUUAAAGUUAGGUGGGAUGAGGUCCAACAAAUAGAAGGCAGAAAUGGCCACCAAUAGAAGACAGCUCAUCCACCCGAGACGGGAGAAAGGGGUCACUUUAGGUGCAGCACUGUGGUGGAGGAAGAAAAAAAAUAAUGCGUGUGAGUAGUGUGUGUGUGUGUGUGUGUGUGUGUGUGUGUGUGUGAGAGAGAGAGAGAGAGAGAGAGAGAGAGAGAGUACACACACCCGGGCUCGAGCAGGCCAAGUGAGGAUGGCUUGGUGUCUGAUCAUUCUCCACCUAAUUCCUUUGACAUCGGGGGCUCCUUCUGUCUGUCUCCCCCAUCUGUCCCCUGCACUGGAGUUUAAGAAUCACACUCACGACAUGGGUGCCAAGAUCAGAACUCAGGUCCCCACGCUUACACAACAAGCUCUCUUCCCCACUCUCCAGCCUCAGUUUUGUAUGCUUGUUGAUGGGGUGUUAAAGAAAGAGAGGGAGAGAUGGAAGUGUACACUGGCAAGUGAGGCAUUAAGAAAUGCAGCUUGAGAUGGCUAAGGGGGCCACGUGAAGUUUCGGACUGAUUCGUUAGAGGAGAACCUGACGAUGUAAGAUCAAAGUUCUUCAGGAAACAGUGGAAUCUGAGGCCUAGGAGGAAAAUGUGCUUCAUAAAAAACAAGCACAAGUCUCCCCUGAAAGAUGAGAAAAGACAGACUCUGAGUACUCAUGUCCGGAGACCAAUAAACUGCUGGUAAGCAAUCACCGGUUGCUAUGGAGACGUGACGCUCUCCUAGGGUGCGUCUCUGUUAGACACCGCACCGUGAGACAGAGGCGGGAGAGAGGGAUCCUGCUCCCGCUUCCGGUGUGAAGGGAGACAACUCAACCACCCGCGACAGAGCCAAAGCAUCGUGGAUAUCUGUAAUGUGAUAAGCUGCUUCGAGAUCCUUCUCCCAGGACAGAAAAAGAAGAGAAGACAUUGGUAAUCGUUUGUGAUCAGCUGAAUCUACCACAAAGAUCAGCAGCCACCCCUUGGGGAGGUACAUCUCCCAGUAGGAGCGGAAUGGCUCACUGCCACCAACUGCAGAGAGGAAGAAGUCAUCAAAUAAAUUUACAGCACUACAAAGGGAGAAAACGGAGACAGCAGAAAACUACCCCACCCCGCACCACUGGCACCGGGAGUAUUCAACUACACAUCAUCCCUAAGUGCAGGACAAUCCCGUCCAGUGUCACAUCCUGCAAGGUCACCACCUCAGCAGGGACCGAGGCUUCCAGCUGAAGAUGCUGAUGAGAAGCAGAACUUACUCUCCAGGAACUCCAUUUGCCUAUCUUCAGAGUUGAUGUGAACUGCAUUUAAACCUUGGGUAGGAGCUGUGCUGUGCUGGACUCUGUUGGAAGCCAGCAAGUGGAGGACACUGGUCUUUCCUGCUCCAUCCAGACCUAGUACUAGGAUCUGCUUAUUUUCUACCUGUGAAAUAAAAGGUAAACCAGGAGGGCGCAAACCCAGCCCACUACUAGAACUACUAGAAACUAUGCAGUUUCUCACAUUGGGUGAAGUGGCAGCGGCAGGCACAUCCGAAGGGCAAAGUGAGAAGCCUGGCCCCGUGAAAAACACCCUGGAAGGUAAAUACUCAAGUCUAAUUCUGAACAUCACUGUUCUUUGUCAAUAGUUAUUUCUUUCAUCAUCUGUGUUUCUGUGGAGUCUGUAUUUUACAAGGGAUCAAGUCCUGUCAACAAUUCAAAUUGUUAAGAACCAGGAAGCGGCUCUGAGGCAAGAAACCAACUAAGGUUCUGACCUGGAGUUCUGAGACUAAUUAAGCCUGCCACCUUCCCUUCUGAAAGCCAUGCAGACAGUAACUACAGCGCCCGUGGGAAAGAACCAGGGAGCCCCCAACACAUCAUGUAUUAUUCAAUAUGCAUGUUUUCAAGAACGCUAGCUCUUCCAACAAAGAAUAUAUUCACAGUAAGUUCGAGGAGGAGAGUUCAAUAUUGGUUUCGGCAUUGUUUACGUGGUCCGCACGCUGAAGCGCUGAGGGACAGAGACAGGGGCAGUCUCUGUCAACCCUAGACAAGGAGGGGUAGGACCCGGGGACAUAAGAAGGGCAGCCCAUAAGAGCCCCGCCCCGACUGCUGCU